rnacentral:rRNA from 1 species
UACGAAGGGGGCUAGCGUUGCUCGGAAUCACUGGGCGUAAAGGGGGCGUAGGCGGGUCUUUAAGUCAGAGGUGAAAUCCUGGAGCUCAACUCCAGAACUGCCUUUGAUACUGAGGAUCUUGAGUCCGGGAGAGGUGAGUGGAACUGCGAGUGUAGAGGUGAAAUUCGUAGAUAUUCGCAAGAACACCAGUGGCGAAGGCGGCUCACUGGCCCGGUACUGACGCUGAGGCACGAAAGCGUGGGGAGCAAACAGG